ACCCGCUGAACUUAAGCAUAUCAAUAAGCGGAGGAAAAGAAACCAACAGGGAUUACCUCAGUAACGGCGAGUGAAGCGGUAACAGCUCAAAUUUGAAAUCUGGCCUUUUAGGUCCGAGUUGUAAUUUGUAGAGGAUGUUUCGAACGUGGUCCGGUCUAAGUUCCUUGGAACAGGACGUCAUAGAGGGUGAGAAUCCCGUAUGCGACUGGGUGCCUAAGUUCAUGUGAAACUCCUUCGACGAGUCGAGUUGUUUGGGAAUGCAGCUCAAAAUGGGUGGUAAAUUUCAUCUAAAGCUAAAUAUUGGCCAGAGACCGAUAGCGCACAAGUAGAGUGAUCGAAAGAUGAAAAGCACUUUGGAAAGAGAGUUAAACAGUACGUGAAAUUGUUGAAAGGGAAGCGCUUGCAACCAGACUUGCAUGCAGUUGAUCAUCCGAUGUUUUCACCGGUGCACUCGAUUGUAUUCAGGCCAGCAUCGGUUUAGGUGGUUGGAAAAAAGCCCUAGGAAUGUAGCUUCUCUCGGGGAGUGUUAUAGUCUGGGGUAUAAUGCAGCCUACCUGGACCGAGGACCGCGCUUCGGCUAGGAUGCUGGCGUAAUGGUUGUAAGCGACCCGUCUUGAAACACG
rnacentral:rRNA from 1 species